rnacentral:lncRNA from 1 species
UUUGGGGGCGGUGUUUUACGGACUGGACUGAUUCUUCUCUGCCGCUGCCCUGCUCUUAGCUGGGUUUUUGAGCCUCCGAAGUUUUCCAACUAGAUUCGGAAAAACGAAAACACAGCUCGGGAAGCCUCCACCAGCAGAUUCCUGUGCCAGUUCGCCUCUGGCAAUGGCAGGACUGCUGGUCCACACAGCAGCCAAGACCGGCUCCACAUUCUUCCCUCCCCCUCAUUUCUCUGGAGCCGGGAGCCUUGCACUCAGAGGAAGGGCCUCAGCUCUACAGACUGCCAAAGUCGGCUGGGUCGCUCCACUCCAAAAAUGGUGAGAAAGGAUCUCAUCUUUUCCGCAGAGGAGCCAGAAACAG